UACGUAGGGGGCAAGCGUUGUUCGGAAUUACUGGGCGUAAAGGGCGCGUAGGCGGCACAGCAAGUCGGGAGUGAAAGCCCGGGGCUCAACCCCGGAACUGCUUUCGAAACUGCUGAGCUAGAGUGUAGGAGAGGAAUGCGGAAUUCCAGGUGUAGCGGUGAAAUGCGUAGAUAUCUGGAGGAACACCGGUGGCGAAGGCGGCGUUCUGGACUGCAACUGACACUGAGGAACGAAAGCCAGGGGAGCAAACGGG
rnacentral:rRNA from 1 species